AUCUGUCUUACAGGUUUGUGAGAAUCAAAUGAGUAGAAAAUAAAAAUUUUAUUCCUAGAGCUAUAUACAUGUCAGAUUAUGCUAUGAAUAGAACCCCAGGGAGGUAUAGUCAGAAAAACCAGAAUUCAAAUGUUCGCUCUGACACUCAUUAGCUGUGAUUCUGAGCAAAUUUCUUUACCUUCGUUUCCUCAUGUUAAAGUGGGGGUAAUAAUAACAUCUACUUGCCAGGGCUGUUAUGAGGAUUAAAUUAGAUAAUAAUUAUAAAGCACUUAGCACAGUGUCUGACAUGUAGUGGGUAUUAUAUAAAUACUAGCUAUGGUUGUUGUUAAGAAUUUCUCACAAAACAUUGUGCUGUGUUCUAGUUAAGUGUUUUUGACUAUAUCUCUUGUGUUCCAGUAUCCAUAUUGGAAUGAACUUAAUCAGCAGUGCUUUUUUUUUUUUUUUUUUUUUUUAAGAAGUAAUCCAAUGCUGAAGCUUGGCAACUCAAGAUUGGCAGUGGGAUAAAGGGACAAAGGAUUUGAGAGAAGAUGGCAAUGUAGAGUUGGAUUGGUUAACCAGAGGAUCAGUUUGGAAAAGGGAAGAGAAUAUAAUCAGUUCAGGAUUAGGUCAGGGAUUUGAAAUCAUAAUGAGGAUAAAGAGUAGGGUUUGGGGUUGUGAAACAUAGGGAGAUGUGUUUUGGAUACAAAGUACUUUUCCUGCCACUUGAUAUUUUUACAGAUUAGGAAAAAAAUUAAGAGAAGGUAAUUAACUUACUCAUGGUUGUGUUGUUAGUAAGUGUGAACACUGAAUUUAUGUAAAUUUUGACUUUAUUUCCUCUUUCUAUCCCAGUGCCACUGAAGAGGCUUUCAUUUUGCUUUGUUGUCUACUAGCUAGUUGAAGCACUACAUCUGUUUGAAAUAUAGGUAGCAGUUAUUUAUCAUAAGCUGGCUACAUCUGCUGGGUAAGUUGCCAUGACAUAUAGUGAAUGUACAUAUGAAAAACCGUCUUUCAGCAGGUCUAAAUCCCUUCUUACAGAUGGGGGUUAGAGAUCUAUUGAUGGAGAUGGGGAAGCCUGUAAUGUCCACACUAGCUUUCUGGAGGUCCUCUAGACAGGCCUUGGUCUCAGCAGGAUAGUCACCAUGAGGAUGGUCAGGAAUAGAGUUUAAAGUCUUUAUUGUCUUCUUUACAGUUUGUUCACUCUGACUGACUGACUGAUCAGUCCCAGUUCUCUCAGCCCUUAAGUACCCUAUUACAAUUAAAUUACAUCAUUACAGCAUACUGAGUAUAUGCCAACUAGAGUGAUUAUAUCAUUAUAUUAUACUAGAUAUAUGUGACCUAGAGAACCAUAUCUCACUAAUUCUACUGAGGUAACACUUUGUUGUAAGUAUCCUUGUUUCAAGUAUACUUCUCCCGAGUUCUGGCCUCUACAUCUCCCACUUUCUUUUGUUUUAGAACACAGUGGUCAUGCCCUCCCUGACUUCUCAGGAAAGGAGGUGAAAAUCAAAAAAGAGGUGAUCAUGCCCUCUUGACUUUACAGGAAGGUGAGAACACCAGACCAGAUAUUGUUAGCAUAUUUCCUCUGGAUUGAAGGGUCUUACUUGAAACAGAUAUACAUCAAUCCAUCAGCAUGGGAGUUAUAUGAGCACAUCGGAAUAUAACACAGGCUAGUAGAGAUUUAAGAAACAUCAUGAAUCAACGUGAGGAAUUAUACAUGUCCUAGAAAGAGGAUAUAUAAAUAACAAUCAUACAUACACUUUCAGCAGCCAAGAGCUAGUCCAAAAUCAAUCUAUUGUUCAUUACUUCAUGUGUCAGGGAAUCCAAUGAUUUCUGCAGAUUCGGAAGUCCUGCAGCAAUCUCAUUGACAAUUUUUGAUGUUCAUGAGUCAAUUGCCAUAACUGCAAUGCUCUUUCACUGACAUGUAUAGUUAGAGAGGAAACCAUCUGAUGUUUCUUGGAUCUUUUCCUUUGUUUCAAGGGUCUUCUCUUUUUCUGUCUCUCUCCAAUUGACAAGGCGGAUACAACUCAUUGGCACCCUCUGAUUCCUUCUUCAUCUGUAGAGAUACAAGAAAACCCUCUUCCCCAAACAGUUAAUCUAUCUGGUCCCUUCCAUUCACCAUUUUCUGGAUCUCUCCACAUCACCUGAUGAUUAUCUAAAGAUAUUGGAACUGCUGCCUUUCUGGUGGGUUAUAAAACCUGUCUACCAGAGCCAGCACUUCUUUAUCAAAAAUCAAAAAAUUAAUAGUGUAAAGAGCUAAAUUUAAAAGUUCUUUAGGGUUACCUGUGGCUCUCUCUUUUGUUUUUGGAGGAGGAUCUUGAUGUCUUUACUAUUGCCUAUCCUUGAGAAUUAAAAGGUGAAGAUGGCGGAGAAGGCACACAUGACUCUCUAAGCUCUUCUCAUUACCCUCAUAACCAACUUUUUAAUUCAGCCUCAAAAAUAGUUCUUCACUGCUUAAAUUCAUGAAGAUUAGAAGCACUACAACUUGCCAGCUGAAGUCAAUCUGGAAGAUCGCCAGGAAAGCUGGCUGGCAGGACAACAACCCGUCCAUACACCUUUCACUGCUCUGCAGAGGAAGCUGGUAACCUCCUGGCUCUGAAGGCAGACCCUACAGGCUUUAACAAAAUGAGUAGAAAAAUCAAAAGAUCGAUUGAAGUUUCUAUACAGAAAGAGAACAGCUUUUCAACCCUGAAGAGACUAAUAGUAGUCUUCAGACAAUUGUUGGUCUCCAAUACAAAAGGCUUUCCUAGAAGAGACUAUUAAAAACCUUAAAAGAGAACUAGAAGAAAAAUGGGGAAAGGAAAGAGAAGCUAUGCAAGAGAGCAACAACUUCCUAAAAUGUGAAUUAGAAAAGGCAAAAAACUCCCAAGAAGUACAGGGAAACAGAAUUUGUGAAUUGGAAAAAGAAAAUAACUCACUAAAAAAAAGAAUUAGUAAAUGGAAAAAAAAUUCCAUAGAGCAAAACAACUCAAUUGGACAUAUACAAAAAGAAGUAAAAAAAGCUAAUGAAGAAAAUAACUAAAAAUCAGAACUGAACAAAUAGAAAUGACUGAUUCAUUGAGACAUCAAGAAUCAGUCAAGCAAAACCAAAAAAAUGAAAGUUUGAAAAAAAAAAAGUCAAAUAUUUACUUGUAAAAACAACAGACCUGGAAAAUAGAUCUAGGAGAGAUAACCUGAGGAUCAUUGGACUAUGCAAAAAUUAUGAUGAUGAAAAAAAGAGCCUAGAUACUAUUUUACAGGAAAUCAUCAAAGAGAACUGCCCAGAAGUAAUAGAACUGGAAGGUAAAAUAGGCGUUGAAAGAAUUCAUUGAACACCUUCUGAAAAAGACCCUAAAAUAAAGACUCUGAGGAAUAUUGUGGCCAAACUUCAGAAUUUUCAGACUAAAGAAAAAAUUUUACAAGCAGCCAGGAAAAAAACAGUUCAAAUACUGAGAUGCCACAAUAAGGGUCACGCAAGAUCUGGCUGCCUCAACAUUAAGGGAUCGAAGGGCCUGGAAUCAGAUAUUCUGAAAGGCAAAAGAGCUUGGAAAGCAGCCAAGAAUAAACUACCCAGCUAAGGUGAGUAAUUUUUUCCAUGGAAGAAGAUGGACAUUUAAUGAAAUAGAAGAAUUCCAUUUGUUUCUAAGGAAAAAAACAAGACAAAACAAAAAAUUUGAUCUCCAACAACAGGACUCAAGAGAAGUAGAAAAAGGUAAAAGGAACUCUUGAGAACUGUAUGUCUGUUGUGGAUAUACAUAAAAACCAUAUGUAUAAUUUGAUUUUACCGAAAUAACAUAAAAAAGGGAAGUAGAAAUGGAAAGGGGAUAGUGUCAGAAAAAGGAAAAGGGGAGAUAAAAAGAGGGAAACUACAUACAACGAUGAGGCAAAGGAAACCUAUCAUAUCUGAGGGAACUUAGAAAGGGGAAGGAACAUUGUGUGAAUCCUACUCUCAUCAGAGUUGGCUCAAAGAGGAAAUAAUUGACAUAUUUGUUUUACAGAGAUUCUUCUCUCACUUCAUUAAAAAGUGGGAGAGGAAAAGAGAAAAGGAAAAAAGAGUAAUAAGGGAAGGAUACAAGAAAGGGAAGGGAUUCAAAGGGAGGAGGAAGGGAUACUAAAGAGGGAGAGCUGUGUGAUGCAAAUGUGACCAAUAAGUUUAAUACUAGGGAAGAAGGGAAGGAGGGCAAGAAAAAGAAAAGUAUAACCUGGGGAUAUUAGGAUGGCAGGAAAUACAGAAUUAGUAAUUUUAACCGUAAAUGUGAAUGGGAUGAACUCUCCCAUAAACAGGAGGCAGAUAGCAGACUGGAUCAAAAGUCAGAACCGUACAAUCUGUUGUUUACAGGAAACACAUUUAAAACAGGGAGAUACAUACAGAGUAAAGUUAAAAGGCUGGAGCAAAAUCUAUUAUGCUUCAGGUGAAAUAAAAAAAGCAGGAGUAGCCAUCCUCAUCUCAGAUCAAGCAAAAGCCAAAAAAUGAUCUAAUUAAAAGAGAUAAGGAAACUAUAUCUUGCUAAAGGGUACUAUAGACAAUGAAACAAUGUCAGUAUUAAACAUAUAUGCACCAAGUGGUAUAGCAUCUAACUUCCUAAAGGAGAAGUUUAAGAGAGUUGCGAGAAGAAAUAGACAGCAAAACUAAUAGUGGGAGAUCUCAAUCUUGCACUCUCAGAUUUAGAUAAAUCAAAUCACAAAACAAAUAAGAAAGAAAUUAAAGAGGUAAAUGGAAUAUCAGAAAAAUUAGGUAUGAUAGAUCUCUGGAGAAAACUGAAUGGUGACAGAAAGGAGUAUACUUUCUUCUCAGCAGUUCAGGGAACCUACACAAAAAUUGACAGACAUAAAGACCUCAAAAUUAAAUGUAGGAAGGCAGAAAUAGUAAAUGCUUUCUUUUCAGAUCACAAUGCAAUAAAAACUACAUUCAACAAAAAGUUAGGUGUAAAUAGACCAAAAAGUAAUUGGAAACUAAAUAAUCUCAUCUUAAAGAAUGAUUGGAUGAAACAGCAAAUUAUAGACACAAUUAAUUUCACUCAAGGUAAUGACAACGGUGAGACAUCAUACCAAAAUUUAUGGGAUGCAGCCAAAGUGGAAAUUUUAUAUCCUCAGAGGCUUACUUGAAUAAAAUAGAGAAAGAGAAGAUCAAUGAAUUGAGCCUGCAACUUAAAAAGCUAGAAAAAGACCAAAUAAAAAACCCCCAAUCAAUUACUAAACUUGAAAUUUUAAAAUUAAAAGGAAGAGUAAUAAUAUAGAAAGUAAAAAAAAAAAAAAAAACUAUUGAACUAAUAAAACUAAGAGUUGGUUUUAUGAAAAAAACCAAUAAAAUUGAUAAACCUUUGGUAAAUCUCAUUAGAAAAAGGAGAGAGGGAAAUCAAAUUAGUGGUCUUAAAAAUGAAAAGGGAGAA